rnacentral:rRNA from 1 species
CCUACGGGUGGCAGCAGUGGGGAAUAUUGCACAAUGGGGGAAACCCUGCUGCAGCGACGCCGCGUGAGUGAAGAAGUAAUUCGUUAUGUAAAGCUCUAUCAGCAGAGAAGAAAAUGACGGUACCUAAGUAAGAAGCCCCGGCUAACUACGUGCCAGCAGCCGCGGGAAUACGUAGGGGGCAAGCGUUAUCCGGAUUUACUGGGUGAAAAGGGAGCGUAGACGGCAGUGCAAGUCUGGAGUGAAAGGCGGGGGCUCAACCCCCGGACUGCUCUGGAAACUGUACGGCUGGAGUGCAGGAGAGGUAAGUGGAAUUCCUAGUGUAGCGGUGAAAUGCGUAGAUAUUAGGAGGAACACCAGUGGCGAAGGCGGCUUACUGGACUGUAACUGACGUUGAGGCUCGAAAGCGUGGGGAGCAAACAGGAUUAGAUACCCCAGUAGUC